CUUCUCAGCCUUUUGACUAAGAUCAAGUGUA
rnacentral:snRNA from 1 species